UGGGGAAUCUUGGACAAUGGGCGCAAGCCUGAUCCAGCCAUGCCGCGUGAGUGAUGAAGGCCUUAGGGUUGUAAAGCUCUUUUGCCGGGGACGAUAAUGACGGUACCCGGAGAAGAAGCCUCGGCUAACUCCGUGCCAGCAGCCGCGGUAAGACGGAGGAGGCUAGCGUUGUUCGGAAUUACUGGGCGUAAAGCGCAUGAAGGUGGUGAAGUAAGCCGGAUGUGAAAUCCCAGGGCUUAACCCUGGAAGUGCAUCCGGGACUGCUUUGCUCGAGUCCGGAAGAGGAGGGCGGAAUUCCCAGUGUAGAGGUGAAAUUCGUAGAUAUUGGGAAGAACACCAGUGGCGAAGGCGGCUCUCUGGUCCGGUACUGACACUUUAGUGCGAAAGCGUGGGGAGCAAACAGGAUUAGAUACCCUCGUAGUCCCUGAGCGGGCUGGCAAGGCGCAU
rnacentral:rRNA from 1 species